ACUUAAUAUCGUGUGAGCGAUUUUUUAAUGCCGUGUGCUUUCGUAGAACCUUUCCCAUAAAUCUAAGUAGUCUGCACUAGUAACAGUUUCCAGUCAGGAUGUGGGCUGGUUUUUACGUGUUGUGUGCUUAUGGAUCCUACAGGUAAAAACAUCUCCCUACAGAUAGCGUUUUUCUCUUUUCUCCCUCCCUCUCUCCCUCCCUCCCUUUUUUCUUUCCCUCCUUCUCUUCCGCUCUUUUUCUCUUUCUUCCUUCCAUCAGAAGCGUUGCUGCUUGAAAGCUGUGACGACGUGAACAUGCGGUGGUUUAGCAGCUCUGGAUCCUCUCUGGGCCGAUGGGGCCCGUUCUCCACGUGCUGGGGGAUGGCGACAUGAAGGGUAUCUUCCUCCCUCAUCUGGACAGAAUGGUACAGACGGACUCUCUGGUCCUGUUUGACUUGCAUCCCCAAUCACUGCGGCCAGGAAAAAAAAAUGGUUUUUCAUGGAUUGGCCAAUUUUAGUUCCAGGGCCCAUCUCUGCAGUCAAGAGGCGGGGUGUGAUGUGGCAUGGACAGCCUAUAAAAUCGGAUUGUGAUGAUCAUGGAACAACUAUAAAUGUAGUGAAUUCAUUGAGUAAUUAAAAAAAAAAAGAGGUGGAGUCUGGAAAUUGACAGCCCCAACAGAACCCUGCAAAAGGAGGGAAGAAAGAGUCUUCAAAGGAAAUUUGAUUACUAUCACCAAGAGGAGGAGGGAAAGGGG
rnacentral:lncRNA from 1 species